UACGGGGGGGGCAAGCGUUGUUCGGAAUUACUGGGCGUAAAGGGCUCGUAGGCGGCCAACUAAGUCAGACGUGAAAUCCCUCGGCUUAACCGGGGAACUGCGUCUGAUACUGGUUGGCUUGAGUGUGGGAGAGGGAUGCGGAAUUCCAGGUGUAGCGGUGAAAUGCGUAGAUAUCUGGAGGAACACCGGUGGCGAAGGCGGCAGUCCUGGACCAUUACUGACGCUGAGGAGCGAAAGCC
rnacentral:rRNA from 1 species